rnacentral:tRNA from 1 species
CCCCUGUAGGACUAGUGGUUAGGCCACAGCGCUCUCACCACUGUGCCCUGGGUUUGAUUCCCAGCCAGGGAA